rnacentral:snRNA from 2 species
AGCCAUGUGGUGAGCAUAAAGCUAACUAUUCUUUCGCCUUUUACUAAAGAAUACCGUGUGCUCUACAUGCUAAGUGGCAAAAGAAAAAUAGUACUAAUUUUAAUUAGGAA